AGAAAAUCAGCCAUGGGUCAUACUUCCUCCAUCCCCCGUUGUCUUCUCCCCUUCCGUAUUUGCGGUUCACAAAAUAUGGAGAAAUUGAUGCUUUGAAUCGUCAUCUCUAUUAUCAGAUCAGCAAGUCAAUAAGGUUCAUCUCUGACAUGAGUGGUGACUGUAUUCGUAAUGAAAAGACACCGGCGUUAGGAUCUCGGUGGCGAAAAACCUCGUCGUCUGACAUUUGUAGAUCUAAAUAAGUGUGUCAUGGAUGAGAGAUUCAUUGGUUAGAAGAAUUAAAACAUACGUUGUCAAUUUGUGUUGCGUAAUUUGAUUUAUUCAACUUUGUAAGAUACUACUUUGUACUUAUAAUGUAAUACGAGUAGUACAGAAACUCAGAUCUAUAAUUCUUGAAUUCCUUAUUUGAUUAAUAAUAAUGACACAUGUUUAGUA